GUAGUAGUAGCAGUAAUAGUAGCAGUAGUAACAGUAGUAGUAGUAGCAGUAAUGGUAGUAAGAGUAGUAGUAGUAGUAGAAAUAGUAGCAAUAGUAGUAAUAAAAACAGUAGCAGCUACAUCAGUAGUACCUAUUGCAGCAGUAGUAGCAGUAACAAUAGUAUUAGUAGUAGUAGUAGUAGUAGAAGUAUUAGCAAUAGUAGCAGU
rnacentral:lncRNA from 1 species